GAAGUUCUCCGACGGCUCGGCCGUGAGAGGAUCGGCGGCGACGCGAGCAGAGGAAUCCGGUGAGAGUCCGGAGCGGUCCCGCCACUGUGACCGGGUGAGUCGUACGACCCGGGAGUCAGGACGUCUGCUGCGCCGCACACCCACGG
rnacentral:ncRNA from 2 species